AUACAUGCAAGUUGAACGCAACAAAGACACCAGAGCUUGCUCUACCGUCUUUGUUGAGUAGCGAACGGGUGAGUAACGCGUGGGUAACCUGCCUUAUAGCGGGGGAUAACUAUUGGAAACGAUAGCUAAUACCGCAUAACAAUAGAGAUUGCAUAAUCUUUAUUUGAAAGUGCCAACUGGUACACUAUGAGAUGGACCCGCGUUGUAUUAGCUAGUUGGUAGUGUAAUGGACUACCAAGGCGAUGAUACAUAGCCGACCUGAGAGGGUGAUCGGCCACAUUGGGACUGAGACACGGCCCAAACUCCUACGGGAGGCAGCAGUAGGGAAUCUUCGGCAAUGGACGAAAGUCUGACCGAGCAACGCCGCGUGAGUGAAGAAGGUUUUCGGAUCGUAAAACUCUGUUGUUAGAGAAGAAUGUUGAUUAGAGUGGAAAAUUAAUCAAGUGACGGUAUCUAACCAGAAAGGGACGGCUAACUACGUGCCAGCAGCCGCGGUAAUACGUAGGUCCCGAGCGUUGUCCGGAUUUAUUGGGCGUAAAGCGAGCGCAGGUGGUUUAAUAAGUCUGAUGUAAAAGGCAGUGGCUCAGCCAUUGUGUGCAUUGGAAACUGUUAGACUUGAGUGCAGUAGAGGAGAGUGGAAUUCCAUGUGUAGCGGUGAAAUGCGUAGAUAUAUGGAGGAACACCGGUGGCGAAAGCGGCUCUCUGGACUGUCACUGACACUGAGGCUCGA
rnacentral:rRNA from 1 species